GUUCCCCAUCUCUCUCUCUCUCUCUCUCUCUCUCUCUCUCUCUCUUUCUUUCUCUCCAAACUAUAAUCAGUUAAACCUAACUCUAUCACUAAGGUCGGUUUGCCGUAGCUCACCACUUGGACUUAACGCUUCCUCUAUUACAGCUUAAACUUUUAAAAACGGUGAGUGUUAUAUAUAUAUAUAUAUAUAUAUAUAGAUGUAUAUAUAUAAAUGUGUGUGCAUAUAUAUGUAUGUGUAUAUAUAUAUAUAUAUAUGUGUGUGUAUAUAUAUAUAAAUGUCGCUUUCUAUAUAUUUAUUUGUUUAUUUGGUUAUUUAUAUCUCUUUCUAGCUUCGUUUUUUUUUUCUACCUUUUUCUCAUAUAUAUAUACAUAUAUAUAUAUAUAUAUAUAUAUAUAUAACUGUGUGCGUACAUAUAAAUAUAUAUAUAUAUAUAUAUAUAUAUAUAUAUACGCACACCUGUGAGGGAGUCUAUGUAUAAUUUCUUCCAAUGUAUAUAUAUCAAUAUAUAUAUAUAUAUAUAUGUUAUAUAUAUAUAUAUAUGUAGGUGUUUUUAUAUAUUUUGUUACAUAUGCAAUUAAGUAUACAGAUAUACACAAGCCACAAGCGUAGUUAUAGAAUUAUAUAUUCAUAUAUUUGUGUGAAUUUAUUUACUCAUUGAAGUACGGAGAUUACUUUCUGUUUUCUACUCAACGCUUCGAAACUAAGUGAUAAUAACAGAUGGGUAAUUUAAGCUCUUCAUCAAAAUAAUUAAUUGCAUUCUACUUUUGGUACUGAGCGCUUUUGUCUAUUCUAUUUUUUAUUUAUUCUUUUUUUUACCCUCUUGUUUAUUAAACUCAAAACCUGACACGCAUCAUAUAGACAUACUUAUAUUCACACACAUACACACACAUACAUACAUACAUACAUACAUACAUACAUACAUACAUACAUACAUACAUACACGCGCGCACAUUCAUAUAUUGAGUACUUUAACUCCUUUCCGUAAUUAUUCCUUGGCGAGAUUGACACAAAACAAAACACAUACGUAGACAUAUGAACACACCACACUAUAUAUAUACACACACACACAUAUAUAGGGUGUCCCAAAAGAAUGUAUACACACCUUAAAUAAUUGUAAAUUUGUUAUUCUUUGCAAGCCUAGUACUUAUUCUAUCGUUCUCUUUUGCCGAACCACUAUGUGUAUACAUUUUUUUGGGACACCCUGUAUAUAUAUAUAUAUAUAUAUAUAUAUAUUGCACUAAUUUUCACAUUAUAUAUAUUUUCCUCUCUCUCCCUCUUCAUUCGCUAAGUGUGCUUGCGCGAGCGCGUGUGUGUCUGUUGUUUAUUAUAAAUGUUUCAGUUGCUCUUUCGAAACUUCGAAGUUUUCUUUAAGAUUGGCUAUCGUCUUAGCCAGUGUGCAACGCUGAUUAAGUUCGCUAAUGAUCAAAGGGAUUCUAUAUGUGGUCACCCGUUCUCACUUAGUUGCACAUCUAGAUUACAUCAUGCCGUGUGUCUUCUCACGCAGUGUAUGAUCUGAUGGAGUUUUAGGCUGUUUUUGCUAGAUGGUAUGUAUAUUAAUUAACACGUUAGAGCUGAAAAAAUUUUUCUAAGCUGUUGAUUAACCCCAGUUCAGUCGUGAUAGUGUUUAUCUCUGUCCAAAAGCGUUCCAGUCACGACCAUUCCAUCGUGUUUUAAACCAGAGCGAUAAUUCAAGAAAAACAGCUACCAAAAUACGCGAUUCGAGGGAGAUUCGACUGUUAUUUCUAGCAACUACUUUAUAAGUAUCCUCGUUCGUUUUGUGAGUUGUGUUUUAAAUUGCCUCGUAGAAACUUCGCCGUCACAAUAAACAACAACAACACCAUAACAUAAAAGAUUUUAAAUAUUACUCUACAUGUGAUCAGUACAUUGUAUCUAUCUAUAUAUUACUGUUUGUUUUUUUUAUGUUCAGUUAUAAUAAAAAGAAAUUUUGCAUUAAUCUGGUGGGUUAUUCUAUACUUUUGCAAAGUACAAAUUCAUUAUACUUAUACAACUAUGCUGUUGACAAUGACUUCGAAGUUUCGGCCAGCUAAGCCAUCAUUGUCCGAUGAUGGGUUGGCUCGCCGAAAUUUCAAAGUCACUGUGUGUAUAUAUAUAUAUAUAUAUAUAUAUAUAUAUAUAUAUAUAUAUAUAUAUAUACAUACGUACAUGGAUACACGGUGACAUACAUCCAAUACAUACAAAAAUGUAUGUGUGUAUAUCAUGUAAUACAUAAACACAUCGUCAAAGAUUGAUAGUAAUUUAAAUAUAUGUGUAUAUAUAUAUAUAUAUAUAUAUAUAUAUAUAUAUAUAUAUAUAUAUAUACACAUAUAUAUAUAUAGCAUCACCGCAAAUAGGACUUGUGGUUAAACACAUGGCUAUAUUGAUACAGAUAUUUACAUACAUACAUACAUACAUACAUACAUACAUACAUACAUACAUACACAUGCAUACGCACAUAUAAUUUAUAUAACGUGCAUAUCCAUUUAAACACAUAUAUAAACAC
rnacentral:lncRNA from 1 species